UAUAAAAUAAAUAAAAGCCACAAAGCCACGUUUAUUGACUCGCCAGGCGAGGAAACACGCACAAGUGAAGAAAUUCACUGAAUAGUCAGCCGAGGAGGGAGAGUCGGGGAUGUUUAAUCUUGGAGAGGGGCUCACAAUGAUUAAGGCUCGAAAACCAGCACUCCAGAAAUUAAUCUAAAGGUCUGUACCUGGUUGGUUCAAACAAAUCCAUCGUUCAUUGUUGAGGAAAGAGUCUUUAGUUGAGUCCAGUGGGGGUUUGGCGUUUGGGUCCACUUCAGCUGCUUAGAAUCAGUUAUGAUGAAACACAAUAUUUAAUUGUGAUAUCUCCUAGGGCAUGUGUUGCUAUAAGUGGAAAUUUUUCCUGUUUCAAUUCCCGCCUGCUCCUCCUCAAUGGAAGCUCCGUAUAUGACACGUAUGAGCAUAAGAAUGGUGUCAAACCUGCCCAGGAUACCAGAAAUUUCUGUGAAUUUGGAUGAUGAGGAUUAACCAGAGUGUUUCUCUUCACCCCACAACACCUGCUCCUGAAAAGGAAGCAUUUGUUCCUUGCAUGCAAAUCAUUUUGUAUUAAAGAGGCAUCUAAUGAGCAUCGGAUGAAAGUCCCCUGGAGCAGGUUGCAUUUCCUUCUUCUUGAAGUACAACCGCAGUAUUUCAUUCUCGGAAAGUAAAGAAUGUCCAGGAAGAAAUCGCCACUGUUUUUCUGCCACACUCACUUACGAACAUUAACAUCUGGGCUGAUCUGAGAAGUGAUGCCAUGGACGUCGCACUCCAACUUUCCCAUCCUUUCUUCCUGAACCAUGAGCGCGGGCGGGCAUCAGCCCUGCCUGUGCGCUGCUCAGCCUGGGCGGACACGCUUCUCAAUCCCAGCCAGCUGCUCCUUGCAUCUG
rnacentral:lncRNA from 1 species